rnacentral:tRNA from 1 species
ACGUUUGAUAUGACGGAAUAUAUCGUCUCAGUUUCCUAAACUGUAGGUCGUAGGUUCGAAUCCUAUCUGGGACGUA